rnacentral:rRNA from 1 species
UACAGAGGGUGCGAGCGUUGUUCGGAAUUACUGGGCGUAAAGCGCGCGCAGGCGGCCUUUUAAGUCUGCUGGUGAAAUGCCGGGGCUCAACCCCGGGCCCGCCACAGAUACUGGGAGGCUGGAGACGAGUAGAGGCAAGCGGAAUUCCGGGUGUAGCGGUGGAAUGCGUAGAGAUCCGGAAGAACACCGGAGGCGAAGGCGGCUUGCUGGGCUUGGUCUGACGCUGAGGCGCGAAAGCGUGGGGAGCGAACAGG